UACAGAGGUCUCAAGCGUUGUUCGGAUUCAUUGGGCGUAAAGGGUGCGUAGGUGGCGCGCUAAGUCAGGUGUGAAAUCUCGGGGCUUAACUCCGAAACUGCAUUUGAUACUGGCGUGCUUGAGGACUGGAGAGGAGACUGGAAUUCAUGGUGUAGCAGUGAAAUGCGUAGAUAUCGAGAGGAACACCUGCGGCGAAGGCGGGUUGCUGGGCUGACACUGACGCUGAUGCGCGAAAGCCAGGGGAGCGAACGGG
rnacentral:rRNA from 1 species